rnacentral:lncRNA from 1 species
CACAGCCUCUUUCCUUCCCUAUGUGAUGGGAGACAGUGUCUACCUUGCAGUCUAGAAGCACCAUCCUUUGACUAGCAUAAUGGUCAGUAGUGUGAGCUGCUGGAUCUGCAGGCCCCUUGUAGGAGCUGCCACUGAGGGUGCUUGCUUCUGACUCGCCAGUUCAAUGAAAGCCCCUGGUGUCUCCAGCUUAACUGCAAACAGCUGUCCUCCCCGGCCAGCUGGCUCAGAGCUCACUCACUCUUAUUACCUGAAGGUGUCUCUAGAAGCUUCCUCAGCCCUGAAAACCUGGGGACAGAGCUACAUGUGGGGAGAGGACAAAGGGGGCGCAGAGGAGGGAUGGAGACUUCUGUUCCCAUACCAUCGACUCUGUCCAACAAAGGCGUCACCCAGGCAUCAUCCAGAAAAUCAAGAGAGUCAUUCUGAGAUGGCUCAGCUCAGAGGCUGCCUCCCAUCUGAGGUUAACACAGACUCCAUUUUUGACUUUUAACCAAAUAACUGAGUGCCCUACAACCUGGCACUUGGCUUUGUCCCUGGGUAGAUCUUUAUUACCCAUGAAGAUUGUUGAAGCCCCUAAGGGGCACUGUGUGUGAUAUCGCCUUUUACACAAGGUUUGGAAAUCGCCGUAGGAACCCGGUGAGUGUUGGGUUUCAGAGAGUCUGUUAGUCAGAUAAUUAUGGAAAAAACUGACUUUCAUAAAUGGCUCUGCCGUUUGGAAGAGGAUUCUGACCUGUCUAGACAUUAUCGAAGGCUUGUAAGUGGUGGUUUUAAUGCAUUGCCCAUGAAGGCACAAUGACACUCACUGCAGAGCCCAGAGCAGACAGACAGACUGCCAGAUCUACUUACUGGCUGUGGGUUUGAACUGUUGUCUAGUGAGAAUAGAACUGUGUGUUAUGUCAGGUGUGCCUCCAGAGCGGCCUGUGCAGACCAGAGGGAGAGAGCUGUGUUGUUCAGGUGGGCCUCGACAGGCACAGACACCUGUGUGUGUCAUGUGGCCACUUAGGUGACAGAGGGGUCAGUAACCAGGAAAGUGGGCAAAUCUUCCUGUGGAUCAAACUUUUUCACUGCAGAUCAAACUGCUGAUAUACAUAUUUACUCUCACUUUAAUAUUUAAAGCUAAGAUAUUAUAAAUUGCAGACCAUUUCUAUCAUCUCCCACCCCCAAAAAACUCCACACCCAUUAUUGGUCACUCUCCGUACCCCCUUCCUCCCUAGCCACCACUGGUCCACUUCUGUUCUGUAGAUUUGCUGGACGUUGUGUAUUCAGAUUUGCUCUUUUUUCUUUGGCUCUUUCAUUUGGCAUGUUUUCAAGGUUUAUCUGUAUUGUAGAAUGUCAAUAUUUCAUUUCUUUUCAGCUGGAUUGUCUCUCUUUCGGUCUUUUUCCACAGACAUUCUUCUCCAGGCUUUGGAGAUCAUACUUAGUAUAGAUGCAGAAUGCAAAGUUCUCCUGGCCUUUGACUCCUAAAGGAAUGGGGGUGCUCUCCCCCGUCCUGUUCAGGCAGAGUGUCUGGAGAGCACCCCCGACUCAGAAAAUGGCUUUAUUGGGAACAGUCGUGGCUGGUUAGAUCCAUGGGUUUGAUUAUAUCGUUCUGGAAGAGGUAAGAGUCUCGGUGGGGUUGCCAACAGGCACGAAGUAAGAAGAAUACAAAGCCACAAACCAAUAGGUCACAGAAGAAGAACAGCAAGCAGCCAAUCAAAACUCACUGUGCAAAGAUAUACAAAUAAAAAGAUUUUUAAUCUAUUGGACUGGAUCAAAUAGGAAAAAGUGAUAUCCAAGAGACAGGAGAGUCUAACAGACAUGGGCAACCUGUGGGCUACAUGUACCUCAAGAUAGCUAUAAAUGUGGACCAGAAAAAAAUAUAUAUAAAACGUAUUUAAAACA